AUGAUUUUUGUCGAGCCUUCGACUUUAGUCGAAAAAGCGAGACUAAGCGAUCCUACUUUCCGUCGGCGUCGGCGUCGUCGGCGGCGUCAACAAAUAUUCACUCUGUGGUUAAAGUUUUUUAAAUUUUAAUAACUUUCUUGAACUAUACUGGAUUUCUAACAAACUUUGACAGAAGCUUGUUUAUGAUCAUAAGAUAGUAUCCAGAAGUAAAUUUUGUAAAAAUAAAAUUCUAUUUUUUCCGUAUUUUACUAUAAAUGGACUUAGUUUUUUCUGCGGGGAAACAAAACAUUCACUCUGUGGUUAAAGUUUUUAGAAUUUUAAUAACUUUCUCCAACUAUCCUGGGUUUGUACCAAACUUGGACAGAAGCUUGUUUAUGAUCAUAAGAUAAUAUCCAGAAGUAAAUUUUGUAAAAGUAAAAUUCCAUUUUUUCUGUAUUUUACUUAUAAAUUGACUUAGAUUUUUCUGCAGGGAAACAUUAAAUUCACUCUGUGGUUAAAUUUUUUAGAAUUUUAAUAACUUUCUUAAACUAUCCUGGGUUUGUACCAAACUUGGACAGAAGCUUGUUUAUGAUCAUUAAGAUAGUAUCCAGAAGUAAAUUUUGUAAAUAAUUAAAUCCAUUUUUUCCAUAUUUUACUUUUAAAUGGACUUAGUAUUUCUGCGGGGAACCAUUACAUUCACUCUGUGGUUAAAGUUUUUACAAUUUUAAUAACUUUCUUAAACUAUCCUGGGUUUGUACCAAACUUGGAGAGAAGCUUAUUUAUGAUCAUAAGAUUGUAUCCAGAAGUAAAGUUUGUAAAAAGAUUACUCCGUUUUUUCUGUAAUUUAGUUUUAAAUGGACUUAGAUUUUCUUACAAUCAUAAAAUAGUAACAAGAGGAAUUUUUUUUUAUUGAUUUUUUUCCUCAUUGUUGUUGAGCCUGAGAUUUACAGCAAAAAUAGGCGAGACACUGGGUUCCGCGGAACCCUUACAAAUUUUU
rnacentral:lncRNA from 1 species